AUUUGUCUUGCAGGUGGUUUGGGCUGAGCAGCAGAAUUAGUGGAAGAAGGAAUGGAGGGAUGCGAUGCAUUUUCAUGGGAAUAAAGGAUGGUUAAGGUUUCAUGAGGACAGUCAUCAGACCUAUUCGUGAACACCUAGUAUUUUGAGCAGACACGGCCUCCCUCCACGGAAAACUGAAGAAAGUACAGGGGCAGUGAGACUGGCUGCGCCACGGCUGUCGCUUGCAGGAAGCUGACACACACACACACACAAGGUGCCCAGCGGGAAGAGUGUCAGCUCAGCUAACAGGGAAUGACAGUCACCAGUGCCGCCGGAUCACACAUCAAGACGCACUUCAGUGCGCGUUUCCGACUCGCUGUCUAUUAGUGCGCGUGGGAAGCAGUUCUGAUUGUCUGCACGUGAGAUGACGCCGCUCCUCAUCUUAAAGCAUACCGUACAACUGCAGUUCCUUGAUGAGG